rnacentral:rRNA from 1 species
CCCAGACUCCUACGGGAGGCAGCAGUGGGGAAUAUUGCACAAUGGGGGGAACCCUGAUGCAGCGACGCCGCGUGGGUGAAGGAGUACUUCGGUACGUAAAGCCCUAUCAGCAGGAAAGAAAAUGACGGUACCUGACUAAGAAGCCCCGGCUAACUACGUGCCAGCAGCCGCGGUAAUACGUAGGGGGCAAGCGUUAUCCGGAUUUACUGGGUGUAAAGGGAGCGUAGACGGCAGUGCAAGUCCGGAGUGAAAGCCCGGGGCUCAACCCUGGGACUGCUCUGGAAACUGUAAAGCUGGAGUGCGGGAGGGGCAGGCGGAAUUCCUGGUGUAGCGGUGAAAUGCGUAGAUAUCAGGAGGAACACCGGCGGCGAAGGCGGCCUGCUGGACCGUAACUGACGUUGAGGCUCGAAAGCGUGGGGAGCAAACAGGAUUAGAUACCCGUGUAA